rnacentral:rRNA from 1 species
ACGGCAGCACGGGGGCACCCUGGUGGCGAGUGGCGAACGGGUGAGUAAUGCAUCGGAACGUAUCCUGUUGUGGGGGACCACCUACCGAAAGGUGGGCUGAUACCGCAUGACACCUGAGGGUGAAAGCGGGGGACUGGAGACCCCCUCCGCGAUGGGGAGCGGCUGAUGUCCGAUUAUCUAGUUGGGGGGGGAAAGGCCUACCCAGGGUUGCGAUCGGUAGCCGGUCUGAGAGGAUGAUCCGACACUAUGGGACUGAGACACGGCCUCACACUCCUAGGGGAGGGAACUGUUGUGAAUUUUGGACAAUGGGGGCAACCCUGAUCCACCCCUGCCGCGAGAGUGAAGAAGGCCUUCGGGUUUUCAAUCUCUUUCAGGCAGGAAGAAAUCGGGUGGGUGAAUCUCUCCUCUGGCAGGACAGGAACGGAAGAAAAAAUCACCUGCUAACUACCUGGCAACUACCGCAGUAAUACGUAUGGUGCGAUUUUUCAUCGGAAUUACUGGACAUAAAGGGUGCGCAGGCUUCUGCUCAAAACAGCUGUCACCUCCCCGGACUCACCCUGGGAAUUGCGGUUGUGACUGAGUGGCUGGAGUACGGCAUACGGAAAUUUCAAUUCCACGUGUAGCAAUGAAAUGCGUAAAGAUGUAGAGGAACACCGAUGGCGAGCGCCUCUCUCCUGGGCCAGUACUGACGCUCAUGCACGAUAGCGUG